rnacentral:miRNA from 1 species
UCAGGCCAGGCACAGUGGCUCA